AGACGAACCACACGAACGUUAUUCGGAAUUACUGGGCUUAAAGGGUGCGUAGGCUGUGCGGAAAGUUAGGUGUGAAAUCCCCCGGCUCAACCGGGGAAUUGCGCUUAAAACUACCGUGCUAGAGGAAGACAGAGGUGAGCGGAACUUCGGGUGGAGCGGUGAAAUGCGUUGAUAUCCGAAGGAACACCGGUGGCGAAAGCGGCUCACUGGGUCUUUUCUGACGCUGAUGCACGAAAGCUAGGGGAGCAAACGGGA
rnacentral:rRNA from 1 species